GCUUUGUUGCGCUCAGUCGGUAGAGCAUGAGACUCUUCUUCAGCUCAGGGUUCUGGGUUCAAACCCCACGUUGGGCG